rnacentral:rRNA from 1 species
UACAGAGGGGGCAAGCGUUGUUCGGAAUUACUGGGCGUAAAGGGCGCGUAGGCGGCCUGCUAAGUCAUACGUGAAAUCCCUCGGCUCAACCGGGGAACUGCGUGUGAUACUGGCGGGCUUGAAUUCGGGAGAGGGAUGCGGAAUUCCAGGUGUAGCGGUGAAAUGCGUAGAUAUCUGGAGGAACACCGGUGGCGAGGGCGGCAUCCUGGACCGAGAUUGACGCUGAGGCGCGAAAGCCAGGGGAGCAAACGGG